ensembl:lncRNA
CAGCUAAAUAUAAAAGUCUCUCUCUCUCUCUCUCUCUCUCUCUCUCUCUCUCUCUCUCUCUCUCUCUCUGUGUUGUGUUGCUGUGACAUUAACAGGAGCAAGGCUGGCCUUUUCUCCAUUGUUUUGUCAGGUGCACAUCUUGCUCUAGCUCUCUUUCUCUCUCUCUCUCUCUCUCUCUCUCUCUCUCUCUCUCUCUCUCUAGCUCUCUGUCUGUCUCGCUUUCUGUCUCUCUCUCCGUUCUUAACACCGUCUGUCUCUCUUUCUCCAGAUUUUUCAUCUCUUCCUCCUGUCUCGUGUGGCACGGGUUCUAGCUGCAUGCUCUCUUCCUCCUUGGUGUGUGUGUGUGUGUGUUCACGUGCGAGUGUGUGAGGCAUUCACUCUGUGCCUGAGUGCCUCCAGAUGGCAGGACUGAUGCCUCUCACGUCCCCCCUCCUCUGCCACACACAGGCUUAUUUUUGUUUUUAUUACAUUUUUUUUUUUUUUUUAUCAGGCUUUUUUUUUUUUUUUUUUAAACGAGCGUCAUUUUUCUGUUGUUGUUGAUUUAUCUGUUUAUUUGCUGUCUCCCAACGUCACUCGACAUCUGACCUGGGACAAGUGCAAAGAGCUGGAACGAUGCACAAAUUCGUACACACACACACACAUGUGCACAUGCACACACAUUUACACAUGCAUUUCCCAGUAGAGCUCAAACUGCGCCGGCCAAAAACAGGACACACAAAGCAGUUUGCCCAUAAACCCCUCGGGAUGCGGGGGGUGGGUGGAUCCGAAUACGGUAGAACUCUUCGUGCGUGAGCUUGUUUUAUAUUAAAAUGUAUUUAAAGGACUUAAAAUAAGAAGAAAACCUGAAAAAAAGGCAAAGACGACUCAACUGACAGAGAUGUGCGGAGGUCGAUGGACGAGAGAGAGAGAGAGAGAGAGAGAGAGAGAGGGGGCCUUGGGUUAAUCUGUCAGUGCUUUCAAUGUUCAUUGUUUGAUAUGCUGCCAUGAUUACGAAUAAAUCAUUCCAUCAGACCAGCGUGACGAGAGUACGAG